UACGGAGGGGGCAAGCGUUAUCCGGAUUCACUGGGCUUAAAGGGUGCGUAGGUGGGCAAGUAAGUCAGUGGUGAAAUCUCCGGGCUUAACCCGGAAACUGCCAUUGAUACUAUUUGUCUUGAAUACUGUGGAGGUCAGCGGAAUAUGUCAUGUAGCGGUGAAAUGCUUAGAUAUGACAUAGAACACCAAUUGCGAAGGCAGCUGGCUACACAAAUAUUGACGCUGAGGCACGAAAGCGUGGGGAUCAAACAGG
rnacentral:rRNA from 1 species